GAGACCGUAGCGGCACAGGUAGUUUGACUAGGCACAUAAAAACACACCCUACAGAUAGGGCUAGAUUUUUUCAAAUGCAAACGCAGCAAGAGGAGACAAGUGUAAAUUCUGCGGUUAACCCUAGUACAGGUUCAAAUCUAGUUCAACCAGGAAUUAACACUGUCACUUGGAGGUAUUUUAUAUUACGAUCCAAAUAGAGAUAGUAAAGAAUUAGCAAAGAUGAUUAAUUUUAUGUGGUUACCUUAUACUUUUGCUUCUAAUCCUAAUUGAGUUCAUUAUAUUAGAAGAGUUUUUAAUCC
rnacentral:lncRNA from 1 species